UUCCCUUCCCUUCCCUUCCCUUCCCUUCCUUUCCCUUCCCUGCAAUCCUUUUCUGGAAGACAAUAUUCUGAAGGUGGGCCAAUUCACAUCAUUUUCUUUUCAUCAGUGUAUUUUGCAUUCUUCUCAACUGGUGUCUUUGAGGCAGGUGUCAGGAGUUGCCUUGUGAACUGUUGAAAUUUCCAGUAGGUCAUGGUAUAGUGUGAAUGACACCAUGUCCAAGAAAGAUGUCUCUAUGGCAAUGUCAUGGCCCCAGCCUUGAUUGAAAAUUCAGGGCUCUUUGGAGAAACCAGACAAGUCAGGAACCCCUGCUUCAUCCUUAUGUGCUUAAUUGUGAUGGGCUGGUCAGGCUUGGUUUUGUACAUUGAAAAGAAAUACGCUUAUGCAGUCCCAAUCACAGGAGCUUGAGCCUGGGAGGGCACUUAGUGCAUCUCAUGUGGGCUUUUUUAUAUUUAUGUGAUGUAUUGAUGAGUAGGAAUAGAGAGCUGUGAAGAGAAGCUCAGAGUUUCCAAAGACUUGCCAGCAUGCUGGAGUUUGAGUUUGUUUAGUCCCUUAAUGGGGGGGCAUCAAUGCUUCCCCCGGUUGUGUUUGUGGAUCUGUACAUUUAUGGGGAAAGGGAGAGGGGACAUUUGAGUCCUGCCUUCAGAUUUGGGGGAGAGAAGAAAGGCAGAAUUUCACAUGGGCUACCAGGUAAUCUAUGUUUCUUUCCCCUCGUAGGAAGCUGGGAUUGAAAGAGCGGGAGCAGGUGGAAGGGGAGAAGCAGCUGUCAGCUGCAGAGGAGAAACUGAAAUUAGCUGCAGAAGAGCUAUGGAACUACAAGUGAGUUCAGCUCCUACCAGCAGCUCACACACGUCCAUUGGAUUAUCUUGAAACUUUGUACAGGGUUUAGACCCAAGUAGCACACAAAUAUAUACAAAUAUUCAGGAGACAUUUAUUUUUAUAGAGACUUCAAGAAGAAUGUGACAUUUUCCAGAUGUUAAAUUAAAAAUAUUAUUCUAAACCAGUUAAGCCACUAAAGAUUUCCUGAUCCCCAUUGUUGGCCAGACUGUGUGGAAAUGUGGUUCCCGCACACGUUUCUGGAGGUGCUGGAAAUUAUCACAAACCUCAGGAAGCAGUUUGGUGGAGGACGAAUCACAUGGACAAGUAUGACCAUCCCAUUUUAGAGACCCACUUGUAGUAGCUGUGAGAAAUUGGUAAGGAUAUAAGGGAAAGAAGACUUGAAUUUUAUGAUGAAAGAUACUCAUUGCAGGAUUAGGGAGCUGUCGCCACUGGUAAGAAGACCAUGUCAACGCAGAACCCCACAGGCAUUAAAUAAUAAAUCCAAGAUGAUGUAGCAAUGGCUUUGAGUUUUCUGUACUCUUCCUCCUCAUGUGAAAUGUGUCUUAUAUGAUUGGAUCGUGUGUAUGAGAGUUCAGUUCUUAUAAUGGGAACCUGGGCCAAUUAACAUCACCCUCAACAUGGUGCUUCAUCUGAUGAAAGCAAUGGCACUCCCAGGAGAAGAGUAGAAGAAACACAAGAACAGCUGCAGCAGUCAGAGCUCACCUUCGGACACCAGGUAGCCUGCACGCUGCCCAGUAGUUCCUGAGUCCUCCAGCACCUAAUGCAGAUGAUCAUAACGGGACACUGAAUCCCUCCACAUGGGUUUUUAUUGAUGUGCUGACUCUUUCAGAUUGCUCUUUGUGAGAAAGUGUCUCAGGACAACUGGGUAAGAAUGUUUUUCUCUCCUCCUCUUGUGUGUACUCUGCCACAGCUGAACGUGGAUGUGUUUCUCCCCGCUCAGGGCUUGUGAGCUGGAGAAGGUGAUGGCAGAGCAGAGCAGGGAGGUCGCCUACUUGAAAUGCAGACUGGAAGUCAUCCACAAACAGAGGCUUCCAGAGGAAUCCAGGAGGCACAAACCAAUGGCAGCAGGACCUGACAGAGAGAUACCUCCAUGGAGAGGUAAGGAGCACGUUGUGAAAUGCAGUAGCUUAACUUCUGGGGCAACAUCCACACAAUCGGUUUCUUGUUCCAGUGGGUAUAAUUGUUUGGUCUCCUGCAAACAGUCCCAAGUGGUUACUAGAGGGCACAGGUUGUCUCACAGUGAUGACAGGACACUGUUUCCCUCAGAUGCCCCCAGUCAGCAGGGCUCUUUGGGUCUGUCCUUUGUGAGUGGUGGAGCUCACGCCCCUCCACCGACUGUGGGCCCCUCUGCAACCUCCCAGUUACACUUAACUGGAGAGUGGGUGCUAGAACGGAUGUGGGUCAUCCCCCCCUUCCACCUUGAGGCAAUGUUGAAGGCUUUUUCUUUUGUUUCACAUGAAUAACAUGAACAACAUGAACAACAGCAAGAAUUGUAGGCUGUAUAUCCUGAUGAGCUUCCUUUAUUUGGCUUUUGGAUAAAUACUCCAUAGAAAACAUGCUUUCUAUAAGAAAGCAGACAUUUGUUUUCUCUGUUUGGAGUCCCUUAAUUCUUUAAAGUUUUUUGUGUGUAUUGUGAACUAUAGUACCCUAUUAGUAAAGUAAAUCCUUGUGAAAUUUCACUCCUCUAAUGUUAUUUUAUUAGUGUAACUCUAAAACUUUGCAGGUCGUUCCACAUGGAAUUAACCUUUUCUUUCCUCAUUAGUAUAGUAUUAGUCUCGUCAAGGCAAUUUCUGUUCAUGAAUACUUACAUAAUCCCUUGUCAGAUACAUAAGGCAAAUGAUAUAUACAGUAAAACAUUUGAAAAAUCCCACCCAUGCCUUGUAGAAAAGGACAGGUUGCUGUUCAUGCUGACGGUUUACUGACAUUAUCCUAAACCAUUCUUUUAAUUUUUAAUCUGUGAUAAAUUGUCAUUUCCCAUGAUGUGUAUUAGGAAACCCUUAUUUUAGUGUUGAUUUCCAAUGAAUUGAGCCCUGAGCUGUCCAUAGUUGGUUGAUUAUCAAGUAUCCAACCAAGGCCUUCUGGUGCCUUCCUCAAGGCUCCCCUGAGUCCCAAGGGGUCACCUGUGCCUUGUGGGAAACCCUCUGUCUCUGGUAAGGGACCUGAUUAUAGGAAGCAGUGUAAGAUGGUGGAGGAAGGCAUGGAGGGUUUUUUUUUCCGUCCAGUCUAUGCAAGUCAGAAUAAACCUCCACCCCUUCUUUGGCCUCUAUCAAAUGUAGAACCUGGUGCAGCUUCUGUGAAGAACAAGAAUUCUGUCCUUACUAUGGACACAGAGAAGGUCAAAGUAAACGUUGUCACAUUUUCAGUUGUAAUUCUUUCUCUGGAAUCUUUUAACUCUUUAUACAGCACUCUCUCCGGGUCUUGUCUCUAGUUUGUGUAUUUUGAGAUAUUUCUAUGGUGUUAUUUACUUUACAAAGAGUAAAACUCUUUCCCAAGAGCCUAAGGGCCUCUCUGUUCUUAGCUUGUCAUCUUUGGUGGUGCCUCCAGAAGCCAUAAGUGCUUAGAGGCUGAGGACCACAGGGCAGUCACUGUGUGUGUGUGGAAAUAACAUGAGGAGGAUGACUCCUCACUCUACCCUUAUGUCUCCUGGCCUGGCUCACUUCUUCCAGACCUCCUUUCAUGGGAAUGUACCUGGAAACUGAAACAGAAUUAUUGUUGUUAUUUUACUCCUUUUCUGUCCAGAGUUAGUCAUUAACCUGUUUAGAACAUCGAUUGUAAUCUUCACUAACUGAAAAACAUGAGAAGCCCAACUUUCUGAGGAGUGCUUAGCCAUCUUGAAUGUUCUUAUUCAAAGUUCAUCUUUUUUUAACUUUAAUAAUUCAUCAGUUGUCCCAUCUCUUUUUGAAACGUGCUUUUGUAGAGUCACUGCAGCUGUUUAAGCAGUCAAAAUAUUAUGAAUUAUCAGGAAAGACAUAUUUGCAGUAGAAAAAGUACACUGGAACUGAAGGAAUAGAGAGUGAAAGUCAGGUCUGAUGUGCCAGUUUCUGGAAAAGAGCUGAUGCCAUGUUCAUGUAACCAGGUUCUUUUAUGGCCUGUGCAGCUGUCAUAGCUGGCAUCUUCUCUUCAUACCUUAUCUGUAUUUUCCACCUUGAUAUCAGAACAUAUUCAUUUUAAUUGUCAUUUCAAAUUCCAAACAUAUUUUUCCAUGGGACAAAAUUAGCCUGUAUGUCAUAGUGUACGUAAACUUUGUCAUUACCUGUGAAUUCACAUAUAUCUAUAACUUUUCUUAACUAACUCCUGUAUUGUUCAUGCAGAAAACACUUUCCCAAUUCCCCUGAGGGCUCUAGGAUGCCAUCUCCCCAUAGAUCUUUGUGCCUUAGGACAGCAGGUCCAAAGACGCAGCCAGGUGAGCAGAGGCUGCCAGCAGGACCUUGCAGGCAGAGCUGGUAUCAACUCCUGCUUCACAUUUUGCAAGCCUUUUGACCCUCAUUCCUCUUAGAACCUGUUUGCUUACAUUUAGAGCAGGUGGCCAUACUUACCUUGCAGAGUUCUGAGAAUCAGAGCUCGGACAUGAAAGGCCUGUAGAAGGUUCUCUCAUGAGUCACUGGGGUUAAACCACUCACAAGAAUUAACUGGAGAUGGAUUAAAGAUUUAAAUGAAUGAUAUGAAAUCAUAAUUCCCCUUACUUAUUUCUGCUCUUAAUAUGCCAAAAUGGAACUAUUGAGGUGGUGAAAGGCUGAGCAGAGAGUAGUCCUGGAAAUAGAUGCCUGUGUGUGUAGAACAAACUUGCUUUAAUACUCCAGAAUUAUCUCUCUGAUCCUCUACGGCCGGCCACUUCCUUCCUACAUUUGGAGGCACAGCCAGUACCAUGCAUGCUGCCAGAAAUUUACUGUCUUGGCUCCUCAAACUCCUAGAAGCUCUAGGAGGGACACAGUGGGAAGGGUGGGGUUUUGUGGCACUAAUCCUGCCUUAUUGAAACCAGGAGGAAGGGAAGGAGAUAGGCACUGUUUCUGCUUCAUUGGGGUUCAGCUAUGUUGGUGUCAGUGUUGGAUUUUUCACCUUUUACACUAACAUAUCUCAAAAGUUUAAUUCCUGUCCAGCAGAUCAAUGUGGCUUCAAGAAAAUUUCAUUUCCCAGAGGUGCCCUCCAUUCUGUACCCCAUGGGCUGCACUUUAUCUCCAUUCAUAGCCACCCACCCCUUCUGCACCCUGGUGGCCUCUGGGACCUUACCCUCCACCUCCACCUCCACCAUUUGGUAAGAUGAUAUGAAUAGUAGAAGUUGACUUAUAAAACAUUUUUCAUCUUUUUUCUUGUUGAGUAUUUUGUAGAAGAUGCAGUGAUGGCACCACAGGUCUUUCAGGUCAGCUGGACUGAGGACAUUGUAACAUUCUCUAAGUUUCUCAGGACAUGCAUGAAAUGGGCUGUCAUUUCCACAUAGUGAGCUGGGAAGCACAUGUCUCUUAUACAGAAGAAACAGGCCUUGUUUAGCUGACAUACAUACCACUUCUUAUGAUGUAGCUUGUAUAGAGACCAUGUGUUGGGCUCACUGAGGGAUGAGACAUACCCCUAACUUUAUUUCUAGCUAGUUGAGAUCUGUUGCUUGAUCAGUUAUGAAAACACCUGAACCAGGGUCCUGUGGAAACGUCCUCAAGGGACAGGGUCAGAUCUUUUCUCUUGACUAUAAUAUUAGUCUAAGUACAUUUUUAUUUGAAAUUAGUUAUGUGAUACCUACUCACAUAUGGAAGGCAGCCUAUAUAUAAGCUGAAAGAUUGAACAAUUCACCUGGAGCCAGAAGAAACACAUUCAUGCUCUUUUGUUGAGGAUUUAUUGAUGUUAUCUACCAAUUGACACUCUCAUUUUAAUUUUUAUCUGUAAUGAGAUGGUAAGUUAUUGCCCCUAAUGUAUAUUGAGAAAUGGUUGUUUUGGUGACGAUUUCCAGAUUUGUAUUUGAGCUGACCUGUCGAUAAUUAUUUCACUAGUUAUGAAGGACAUGAACCAGGGCCCUAUGAUUUCUUGAUUAAAAUGAUGGGGUGGGUCUCCCCCUUAUCGUUGGGGUCACCUGAGGCUUGUGGGAUAUUCUCUGCCUUUCCUUAUGGUCCUGAGUGUGGAGAAAAGUUUAAGAUGUCACAAAAUGUGGUGUUUGUUUGAAUUCUGCAGUGUCUACCGAAAUUUAAAAAAAACCUCCACUCCUUCCAGAGCCUUUAGCCAAUCCAGAAGCUGGUGUCGCUCCCAUAAGUCACAACAAGCACUUUACCAAAAAUGCUGAAAAGGACAAGGGCAGUGUGGAUCCAUGGGGACCUCCUCUGUUAACUGGAAGAUUCUGCACACCCUACCCUAGAGGUCCCCCCAUGGGCUAUAGGGCAUGUCCACCUCCUGAACCUUGGUGGCCCUGGGGACCACCCCGGACCUCUCUACCUACACCGCGUGGUAAGAUGAUCUGAGCAGUAUGAGUUGACUUGCAAAGCACCUUCAUCUAAUUUUUGUUGUUGUUGAGUCUUGGACAAGGUGCAGAGGUGGUACCACAGACCAUUGCAAUGCGAGGGAAAAACGUUUGCCGCCAUAACCACAUUCCUUGAGGUUCUCUUGAUCGACAUAUCAUCUUUGUGUCAUUUCCCACACCCUGUGUUGGUACAGGUGUCUCUUGUGGAGAUGGAAUGGGGCUGUAGACACAAAAGCAGACAUAGGGCUUCAGCAGAUGUGUGCUGUACACAGUCCAUGUGCUGGGCUAUGGGAGGCAUGAGGCUCAGCCUAAUGUGUAUCUGUCCAGGUGAGCCACCAGCCAUCCGUAGUUGUUUGAUGAGUUAUGAAAACACCUGAACCAGGGCGUUUAUGGGUCUUCAUCAAGGUUUAAGGGGUGGUUCUCCCCUUUGCCUUGGGAUCACCUGAAGCAUGUGGGGCUACCCUCUGCAUGUGACUUGGGAUCUGACUGGGCCAAAGAGUUUAAGAUGCUUGAGGAAUGAGGGGAGGGUUUGUUUUUUUAAUCUCUGCACAAUCUCCUCAAAUCAGAAUAAACUUCCAUC